GACGUAGGGGGCAAGCGUUGUCCGGAAUCAUUGGGCGUAAAGCGCGCGUAGGCCGCUAGAUCAGUCUGCUGUAAAAGUCAAAGGCUCAACCUUUGAAAGCCGGUGGAUACUGUCUAGCUAGAGUCCGGAAGAGGCGAGUGGAAUUCCUGGUGUAGCGGUGGAAUGCGCAGAUAUCAGGAGGAACACCAACGGCGAAGGCAGCAUCCUGGACCGGUAUUGACGCUGAGGCGCGAAAGCUAGGGGAGCAAACGGG
rnacentral:rRNA from 1 species